rnacentral:rRNA from 1 species
UACGUAGGGUGCAGGCGUUAUCCGGAAUUAUUGGGCGUAAAGAGCUCGUAGGCGGUUUGUCGCGUCUGCUGUGAAAACCUGGGGCUUAACCCCGGGCCUGCAGUGGGUACGGGCAGACUGGAGUGCGGUAGGGGAGAAUGGAAUCCCUGGUGUAGCGGUGGAAUGCGCAGAUAUCAGGAAGAACACCCGUGGCGAAAGCGGCUCUCUGGAACGGUACUGACGCUGAGACGCGAAAGCGUGGGGAGCGAACAGG